rnacentral:rRNA from 1 species
GACGAACGCUGGCGGCGUGCUUAACACAUGCAAGUCGAACGGAAAGGCCCUGCUUUUGUGGGGUGCUCGAGUGGCGAACGGGUGAGUAACACGUGAGUAACCUGCCCUUGACUUUGGGAUAACUUCAGGAAACUGGGGCUAAUACCGGAUAGGAGCUCCUGCUGCAUGGUGGGGGUUGGAAAGUUUCGGCGGUUGGGGAUGGACUCGCGGCUUAUCAGCUUGUUGGUGGGGUAGUGGCUUACCAAGGCUUUGACGGGUAGCCGGCCUGAGAGGGUGACCGGCCACAUUGGGACUGAGAUACGGCCCAGACUCCUACGGGAGGCAGCAGUGGGGAAUAUCGCACAAUGGGCGGAAGCCUGAUGCAGCAACGCCGCGUGCGGGAUGACGGCCUUCGGGUUGUAAACCGCUUUCGCCUGUGACGAAGCGUGAGUGACGGUAAUGGGUAAAGAAGCACCGGCUAACUACGUG